UGAAUUUGGAUGAUAAGUAGAUCCUUAUUCUUCAUCAAUGUGCCAAGGUGAAAUAGAUCUAUCAAAAUGGAAUGGAGAGAGUAUUUUCUGGAACAUCUCAUCAAGAUUCAUGUGAUGUUUCUAAAAGGAAUCUCUAAUAGUAAUAAUAAGAGGUAGUAAAUAGGUAGUACAUACUUAUCUGACUUCAGGCAUUGAAUCAUACGGAAAAUCAAUUAGUACAUUUCUUAUAUGAGUCCUCUGUUUGGGUCCAUAAAAGAGCAACUGAAGCAGCACAACCACCACCAGUGCUGCAAUAUGAGAGGGAUAAACAUUUUCUUCAUACAAGACCCACUCUCUAUAUAUUAAGUGUCUACUUUUAAUUUGCAUUUAUAAUAUGGGCCAUAAGUGUGUUUAUGAAGGUUAUUGCAAGCACAGUGGGUGUCUACGUUGAGUGUCCUGAAGUCAUUUUCUUGUUUCUCAGAGCAGGGCGUUAUCACCCUUGGCCUAUAAAAACAAUAGCUGACAAGAGCUUCAAUUUGGGACUUAAGAGAGAGGUAGCAGAGAACCCAUAAGAGCAUCAUGGCCAUCACUAGUUCGCAUCGAUGCAAAACUACAGUAGCUUUCUAUGGUAGGAUUUUGAGGCGGUGGGAGCUGCUCACAAAGGUGGAGCAUUGGGGAUUGAUAAGUUCAGCUACGCCUUUGUCCUAAGAGUUAUGCUUCAACCCUGUGGAUUGACAAGUGCACAGUAAGCUCAGCCUAGUGUUGCAAAUCGAUAGACAAAGUAGUCCAGUGGAUUUGCUAUAGAGAGAAUUCCUUAUUUCACACUCGUAUAAUGAGUGGUUCCUUUCUUGG
rnacentral:lncRNA from 1 species